rnacentral:ncRNA from 1 species
AGCUGAAAAAGGCAAAGCUAUCGAAAGAUAGUGACGCAAAGCUAUGGGUCUAAAGUGUGCAGAGGUAAUUUUUUUGCAUUACUAUGACUGCCAAGCCACCAGA